CAACUAUAUUUGUUGUAUGGAAGCUUUGCUAGCUGUACAUGCCUGCCUGGCUUGGUUCAUCUGACUUUGACCUCAUUUUCAUGGUUCAUUGGUCUUUGUUUAACUAUCUUGGUUAAUGUUAAGUUUAUGUGACAGUUGUAAUAAAGCUUUAUACUUAGGACUAUCAACAUAAUAUCAAUGAUUAGUAAAGAAGGCGAGACAUUUCAGUGUGUGCACUCUUGUAUAAUUAUAUUUUUAAUUCAGAUACUUAAUAUUUUAAAUGGUGUUUUUUUUAAGUAUAAUGUUACGUUUCAAUUUACAAUGGUAUAAAGUUGUCAACAAUCAAUCUUGAAAAUGAAUUUGAUAAUAUACUGAUUGACUGCCCUAUCAUAAAGAAGGCACAUUUCAGACAUAAUGGCAAAGACAAUGGGUAGUAAAAUUGUUACUGUUAAUGUUGUAUCUACAAUGUCUGAGGUUUUUCAUAUAAGCUGAGACUAAUAGAAGUCAACCUUAUACAAGUGCAGGUAUACAUGUACAUCAGGGACUUUCUAUAUUAGUAUAGAAAGUCCCUGUGUACAUGUAUCAUAUAUAGUGUGAUUUAAUAUUGGAACAUUCAAACAUGAAAAAUGCAUGUUGGGCUGUUUUGUAAAGUUUUGAUAACAAAUUAUUUUCAAAUAAUUACAGACAUUCUGUAUAAAUAUUUUCAACCUGAAAUAGGUUAACUGAUAUUUAUUUGCAUUUCUUUCCAACCCAGCUCAUAUAUCAAAUAAGGAUAAUGGCAUUGUGAUGUAAAUAAAAACUAUAUAUAUAAAGAUUUUAUUGAAGGAUAAUUGACUUCAUAUGCAAUUUAGAACUUCAGAAACUUGUAUGGUCUGAAAUUAAAAAACAAUUGAUAAGAAAUAAAAAAUAAUUUCUAAAGGAUACCUUGUAUGAAAAGUAAGAACUAAGAGGACUACCAGAAAACAUCAUGGUUAAAAGAUACCAGAAAGAUCAACAGUAGUUCACCAAAUAUUGCACUGAAAAAUGAAAAAAAUAGUCUUCAGAUAACCCACCAACAUCAGAAGAUGAAAUCAGGUGGACUGGAAGGGUAAGGAUAUCGUGCAUAUUUUUGUGCAAUAAAUAAAAAAAAAUAUUUUACCAGGUUUGGAAUCCUCUUUCAAAAACUGUUUUUGAUGAAAGUAACUAAAAGUUUCUUAAAGGGAAAUGGUUAAAGAUUUUUCACAUUCUCCAAUAUAAAAGACAUAUUUUAAAUGGUCAUGUACCUAUAGUUUGUUAUUUUAGAGAAGAUAUGUUCAGCAUCUCUCUUUAUUGAAUAUGAUAUGUGCAACCUUUUAUUAUACUAAUUCCACAUCUAUAUUGAAAAACUGUGAUAUACUUUGUAUGCUCAGGGAUUAUUAUAUUCAAUAAAUCGUU
rnacentral:lncRNA from 1 species